rnacentral:rRNA from 1 species
AUGAACGCUGGCGGCGUGCCUAAUACAUGCAAGUCGAGCGAACAGACGAGGAGCUUGCUCCUCUGACGUUAGCGGCGGACGGGUGAGUAACACGUGGAUAACCUACCUAUAAGACUGGGAUAACUUCGGGAAACCGGAGCUACUACCGGAUAAUAUAUUGAACCGCAUGGUUCAAUAGUGAAAGACGGUUUUGCUGUCACUUAUAGCUGGAUCCGCGCCGCAUUAGCUAGUUGGUAAGGUAACGGCUUACCAAGGCAACGAUGCGUAGCCGACCUGAGAGGGUGAUCGGCCACACUGGAACUGAGACACGGUCCAGACUCCUACGGGAGGCAGCAGUAGGGAAUCUUCCGCAAUGGGCGAAAGCCUGACGGAGCAACGCCGCGUGAGUGAUGAAGGUCUUCGGAUCGUAAAACUCUGUUAGUAGGGAAGAACAAAUGUGUAAGUAACUAUGCACGUCUUGACGGUACCUAAUCAGAAAGCCACGGCUAACUACGUG